UUCGCAAUGCCCGAAAGGGUGACGAAGCGACGCCGCGUGUGGGAAGAAGGCCUUCGGGUUGUAAACCGCUGUUGGGAGUUAGGAAAUGUGGAGGUGUUAAUAGCGCUUCCACUUGACUAAAGCUCCAGAGGAAGCCACGGCUGACUCUGUGCCAGCAGCCGGGGUAAUACAGAGGCGGCAAGCGUUGUUCGGAAUUAUUGGGCGUAAAGAGCACGUAGGCGGCUCUGCAAGUCAGCUGUGAAAGCCUUCUGCUUAACGGAAGAACAGCAGUUGAAACUACAGGGCUUGAGUGCGGGAGGGGAGAGUGGAACUUCUGGUGGAGCGGUGAAAUGCGUAGAUAUCAGAAGGAACGCCGGCGGCGAAAGCGGCUCUCUGGUCCGUAACUGACGCUGAGUGUGCGAAAGCUAGGGGAGCAAACGGGAUUAGAUACCCCGGUAGUCCUAGCCGUAAACGAUGGGCACUAAGUAGAGGGGUUUU
rnacentral:rRNA from 1 species